rnacentral:lncRNA from 1 species
GCCCCCCCUCCGCUCAGGCUCCCGCAGCGCCCCCGCCCGGCACCGCCCCCGCCGGCGUCUGCUGGCCGCGCGCCUCCCGCUGAGUCAGCCGUGUCCACGGAAAGUUUUACUGGAACAGCAAGCUCCUUUGUUGCCUAGGUCCGCGGCUGCUUUGCACAACGACAGCAGAGUCGAGCCAUUGUGAGAGACGAUGAGGACACUGAGGUCAGAGAGGUUAAGUGACUCACCCAAAGCUACACAGCGGGCAGAACCAGGAGCCCAGUGGUGGUGUGACUCUCUGUGGCCCAUGUUCCUUCGGGAGGGUGGCGCUGCGGCAGGCAGCGAUCCCCCGGCAAGGCGAGCCACGGCCCACACCCAGCCUGAAGCUACAUGUGCCUGUGAACCUAGUCCCAGGGGCCAGAGUGCGCAGCGAUGAGUCACCCCAGCCCGCUCCCACAUGGAGACCCUCCUCCCCAGCCCGCACACAGGCUGAGACCCGGUUGCCAAGCAAUAAGACACAACAUGCAUAAAUACAAUGCCAUCCCUUGCUGGACCGCGGCGCAGGGCUCUUGUGCUGCGGUCUUUUCCUUGCUUCUCCCCUCCGCCCCUCAGCCUUCCCUCCAGCUUCCCCUGGGACAGUAGGUUUGAUCCUCAGGCGAAGCGCUUCCAGACCCGAGUGAAUGCGGACUGCAGUGUGGACUCGAGGGUGGCUGUGGAGUCUGCCUGGGCGAGGAAUGGGACAAGGCUGAGCCGAGCGGGCGGCAGGAGUGUGGGCUGCAGACAGGGUGGAAUGUCACCAUUCCGGGUGGGUGGGCGCGCCGAGUGGGGGCAUGACUUCAGAGCUGGCCUUGGAGGACGGAGGAAGGCUCCUGCGAUGGGAGCACGUGCCCACUGCCCAGGGACAGGAGGGGCUCCUGCUGCUCUGGAACCUCAGGAUGACGACAGGAUCCCGUGGCACCUCUCUUUGAGCCUGCACACCUCGCUUACCUGUGAGUUGGUUUAGCUGCACAACGCCCUGAGGGCGGCUGCCGGAGUGGGCAGCCGCUUG